rnacentral:rRNA from 1 species
GACGAACGCUGGCGGCGUGCUUAACACAUGCAAGUCGAACGGAAAGGCCUGCUUUCCCUUGUGGAUUGCGGGUACUCGAGUGGCGAACGGGUGAGUAACACGUGAGUGAUCUGCCCCCAACUUGGGUAUAAGCCUGGGAAACUGGGUCUAAUUCCCGAUAGGACUGCAGGGUGGUGCCUGUGGUGGAAAACGAUUUUCUAGUGGUUGGGGAUGAGCUCGCGGCCUAUCAGCUUGUUGGUGGGGUAAUGGCCUACCAAGGCGGCGACGGGUAGCCGGCCUGAGAGGGUGGACGGCCACAUUGGGACUGAGAUACGGCCCAGACUCCUACGGGAGGCAGCAGUGGGGAAUAUUGCACAAUGGGCGGAAGCCUGAUGCAGCGACGCCGCGUGUGGGAUGACGGCCUUCGGGUUGUAAACUCCUUUCGACCGCGAGGAAGCCACCUGGUUGGAAGGGUGGUGACGGUAGUGGUAGAAGAAGCACCGGCUAACUACGUG